rnacentral:rRNA from 1 species
UACAUGGGGUGCAAACGUUGCUCGGAAUCAUUGGGCGUAAAGCGCACGUAGGCGGUUCGUUAUGUCGGAUGUGAAAGCCCUCGGCUUAACCGGGGAAGUGCAUCCGAAACUGGCGAGCUUGAGUACUAAAGAGGGUCGCGGAAUUCCCGGUGUAGAGGUGAAAUUCGUAGAUAUCGGGAGGAACACCAGCGGCGAAGGCGGCGACCUGGGUAGAUACUGACGCUGAGGUGCGAAAGCGUGGGGAGCAACAGG